rnacentral:rRNA from 1 species
GACGAACCGUGCGAACGUUGUUCGGAUUCACUGGGCUUAAAGGGCGCGUAGGCGGGCUUGUAAGUCAGGGGUGAAAUCCUCCGGCUCAACCGGAGAACAGCCUUUGAUACUGCAAGUCUCGAGGGAGAUAGGGGUCUGUGGAACUUCCGGUGGAGCGGUGAAAUGCGUAGAUAUCGUAAGGAAGACCAGUGGCGAAGGCGGGUCUCUGGACAGUUCCUGACGCUGAGGCACGAAGGUCAGGGGAGCAAACGGG